rnacentral:lncRNA from 1 species
UGUAUGUUCACAUUUCAAAAGCACAGGGGUGAGGAUGGGGCAUGAUUAACACCGUCACUGGUCAAUGAAGGAGAAAAGAGAUAAAUGUCAAUAGAAGUUUUUCAGAGAUCAACCUUUGGCAGGUGUAUUACUAAGUAGUUAUACUAUCCAAAAUAAUGCAAAAGGGUUGUAUAUUUAAAUACACACAAAAAAUGUUUACCAUUG